rnacentral:rRNA from 1 species
UACGAAGGGGGCUAGCGUUGCUCGGAAUGACUGGGCGUAAAGGGCGCGUAGGCGGAUGACAUGGUCAGGCGUGAAAUUCCUGGGCUCAACCUGGGGGCUGCGCUUGAGACGUGUGAUCUGGAGUGGGGAAGAGGGUCGUGGAAUUCCCAGUGUAGAGGUGAAAUUCGUAGAUAUUGGGAAGAACACCGGUGGCGAAGGCGGCGACCUGGUCCUUGACUGACGCUGAGGCGCGAAAGCGUGGGGAGCAAACAGG